GCGAGGGCUUUGUGCGGGCGCCGAGCAGCGCCCAGGCCCGGGCUGAGCACGCCGGGACGAGCCGUCCGCCGCGCUGACCCCGGGGCUGGACACCCGACCUCCUGGGGUCCCUUCACGGCUCCCCCUCCCCGGGAGCCCCAGCCGGCAGACCUGCAGCUGGAGCGGGAAUGAGGAUCGGGCCCGGACCCCAGAGUUGGGCCCCGGCCAGGAGAGUUUUCUUUGUAGCCCUGCGGGGGGCGGGCGGUCCCAGCCCCCAGGCCCGUGACUUCGCGGUUGGGCCGGACCUGCCUGCUGAGGUGUGCCUAGCGGGACAUCCCAGCACUGUAAAAGUCCGGACGGAACACUUGCAGCUCAGUGCAGAGAGAGAAAGGUAUAAUUAUAGGGUUGGACUCCUGGGCCCAUCUGCUUAGAGUUACAGAGCAGUUUUAAUCUUUGGCUGAAACAUGAAACAAAUCAGAGCCAAUGAGCAGAUCAAACAGCAGCUGCCACACACACAGGAAAGGAAAGACAGGAGAGAGAUGAAACAGGCGAACUCGUCCCUCUUAAAAGUGGUGAUCUCUGUGAAGAAAAAGGAUGAUCAGGAGACUUUCAUAUAUAAAAAAUGACUUGAAAAUUGGGCAUCAACAGGAUUUUUUGCCAUAAAAUCACUGUUGAGCUGCAGAAGGAGCUGUCAGACCCUGUCCUAUGCUGUGUUCCCUCCCUCUUUGAAGGUUGCAAUCAUACUCCUGCUCCGCUCUGGCUGGGAUGCUGAGAGCCAACAGGUAUCAAAAGCCCCAGCGUAACCAAGUGUAUCUUUGGUGUGGUGUGGCUAAAGAUCUCCCUGCUUGCCAUCCGGAGUCAGUAGUAGCUGUGUGGGGCUGGGGGAGUUGACCCUGCUGUGCUGGGGGUGGGGGCAGUAGACCAGGAGUAACUGGAAGUUGCCCUUCAAGCUUAGUGUGUGAGCGGCAGCAUGGUGCCAGGCGGUGUGGGCAUGGAGAGAGCAAGAUGCACAGGGACGUCUGCAAAGUGUAGUUGGAGGACAUGGGUAAACUACACGAGGAGAUGCAAUUUCAAAAUGCAUCUGCGCUUGCUAAAUUACGAAAACAAAAGUUGUCCAAAGAGCUAUUGAGGUCCUGCAGGGAGUUUUGCCUGGAGUUGAUACCUGCUGGAGAUAAACAGUUUGGAAGAGUUGUUCGUUUUAUAAGAUGUUCAGGCAGGGUCUAAGCUUGUUUUGUCAUAAUGUUUUGGUCAUAAUUAGCUAGGAUCAUAUAAAGCAACAUAAAAAUGGGAUAUCCCCUCACCCCAAUUUUUACAGGAUCGAAGUGGUUUUAACCAAAAAUGGUUCUAAUCAGCCUAACUGAAGAGAAUGGUUUGGGGAGCGUGCCUUCUUCACAGCCAGGGUUUUGUGGGCCUUCAUAAGUUCUGCAGCAGCAGAGGAAGCUGGAUCACUUAUUUCAAUACAAGUUUUACUUCUGAAAGACAUGGUCUGAAAUCUUAGAAUGGUUAAAGAGUUUUUCCGGCUGCAGGACACGGCUCGGAGGAGGUGCCCAGGGACGCGGGGACGGCAGCCUCUGCUGGUGGAAGUGUCUGGUGGUACACCGUCGGAGCUGACACCCGGCGAGCUGUCUUCUCUCAAGCACUGUUUACUUUUGUAGAACUCAUUGACUUUUCGGAGAGGUGGAGAUUUUUUCAACACUUCCUUUUCCUUCAAGCUUUUUCUGUCAAAACUUUAAAAACUGCAUAGAGACCAAGUGAAUGCUUAACCAACAGAAUCUCGAGAAAACAUAGCAAUGGGGCAAAGCAGAAAUCUUUUGAGAUACCCCUUUACCAAAGACAGCUUUUGUAACCAAGAAAACAUUGUCUUCUCUGCACCUUUUUUUCCCUUGUCGUCAUAAAAAGAAAAUGAAAUCUUGAAAAGGAACAUGACUCAUUUCUACGCAGCAGGGGGCAAGGCCUGAAGCAGAUGUUUGUAUUCUCGGCUUAACUCCCUGGGCUGGCUUCAGAAGUGUGGCCGAGGGGUUCUCUGGGGGCCUGCAUUCUUCCCCAGAUGAGAAAAGAACUAAAUAUAGGUGGGGCGAUAUGACUAAUCGUGUUCUGUGGAGGGACCCAACAAUGACACCUCGAUAUAAUCAAUCAGAGUAAAGCGUGACGGCGCUUUCAGAGUGGAAUUGGGAAAUGAGGCAUCGGUGGUAUGGUUGGCAGGAGGCCAAGGGCGCAAGGCCGGGUCUCAGGAGGCAGCCUUCGCCUGGGCCCAGCAGCAGAGACUGACCUGGGGGAGCCCCUACAGG
rnacentral:lncRNA from 1 species